GACGAACGCUGGCGGCGUGCUUAACACAUGCAAGUCGAGCGGAGCGGCGAACGGGUGUGUAACGCGCGAGUAACUGCCCCCCUCCCUGGGAUAACAGCUCGAAACGGCUGCUAAUACCGGAUAGUGGGGGAUGACUCGCGUCCUAUCAGCUUGUUGGUGGGGUAGUGGCCUACCAAGGCGACGACGGGUAGCCGGCCUGAGAGGGGGACCGGCCACAUUGGGCUGAGGUACGGCCCAAACUCCUACGGGAGGCAGCAGUGGGGGAUAUUGCACAAUGGGGGAAAGCCUGAUGCGGCGACGCCGCGUGGGGGAUGAAGGCUUUCGGGUUGUAAGCCUCUUCGUUCGAACAAGAGGUAGGUGGAGAAGAAGCGCCGGCUAACUACGUGCCAGCAGCCGCGGUAAUUC
rnacentral:rRNA from 1 species